CCUACGGGAGGCAGCAGUGAGGAAUAUUGGUCAAUGGACGAGAGUCUGAACCAGCCAAGUAGCGUGAAGGAUGACUGCCCUAUGGGUUGUAAACUUCUUUUAUAUGGGAAUAAAAUGUUCAAAGCGUGGGAUUUUGUAUGUACCAUAUGAAUAAGGAUCGGCUAACUCCGUGCCAGCAGCCGCGGUAAUACGGAGGAUCCGAGCUUUAUCCGGAUUUUUUGGGUGUAAAGGGAGCGUAGGUGGAUUGUUAAGUCAGUUGUGAAAGUUUGCGGCUCAACCGUAGAAUUGCAGUUGAAACUGGCAGUCUUGAGUACAGUAGAGGUGGGCGGAAUUCGUGGUGUAGCGGUGAAAUGCUUAGAUAUCACGAAGAACUCCGGUUGCGAAGGCAGCUCACUGGACUGCAACUGACACUGAGGCUCGAAGGUGUGGGUAUCAAACAGGAUUAGAUACCCGGGUAGUC
rnacentral:rRNA from 1 species